rnacentral:rRNA from 1 species
UGCUAAUACCGCAUGACAUAUCGGAACCACAUGGUUUUGAUAUCAAGAUUUAUCGCUUGAAGAUGGACUCGCGUCCGAUUAGUUAGUUGGUGAGGUAACGGCUCACCAAGACCGCGAUCGGUAGCCGGACUGAGAGGUUGAACGGCCACAUUGGGACUGAGACACGGCCCAGACUCCUACGGGAGGCAGCAUG